GUUGCCACUGGAGGGUUGGCCAUCCUAACCUUUGAAAGUGCCUCGGCACGUUAAACGGACUGAGGGAAUCUCCCCAGCCACACGGUUUUGGCCGUGUAAUCAAACCUCGACAGAACUACUUUCUGUUUGAACCUUACAACUAGUAGCACUGGAUCCCUUGGCACGUCAUUCGAUGAAGAACGUAGCAAUCUGCGAUAAGUGGUGUGAUAUGCAAGUCCACAGCUUAUACGUGAACCAUCGAAUCUUUGAACGCACUGCACUAUCCGGACGACACCCCCGUGAUAGUAUGCCCCAUUGAGCGUUAUUUGUCCAUUCAGACACCAUCGUGUUUGUUCACUUUGGUGGAUGAGUUCGAGGUUCACACCUUGUGCGUUCCUUGAGAUUCAUUAGCAACCGAAAUCCACUCGGUGCCCAUCCUGUGAUGAUUUUGCAGGCCAAGGCUCGGGUUUGGUUGGUGCUGAUAGUUGCCCUUCCCGGCAAAACCGGUGCUUGCACCCUCACUC
rnacentral:sRNA from 1 species